GACGAACGCUGGCGGCGUGCUUAACACAUGCAAGUCGAACGGAAAGGCCCUGCUUUUGUGGGGUGCUCGAGUGGCGAACGGGUGAGUAACACGUGAGUAACCUGCCCUUGACUUUGGGAUAACUUCAGGAAACUGGGGCUAAUACCGGAUAGGAGCUCCUGCUGCAUGGUGGGGGUUGGAAAGUUUCGGCGGUUGGGGAUGGACUCGCGGCUUAUCAGCUUGUUGGUGGGGUAGUGGCUUACCAAGACUUUGACGGGUAGCCGGCCUGAGAGGGUGACCGGCCACAUUGGGACUGAGAUACGGCCCAGACUCCUCCGGGAGGCAGCAGUGGGGAAUAUUGCACAAUGGGCGGAAGCCUGAUGCAGCAACGCCGCGUGCGGGAUGACGGCCUUCGGGUUGUAAACCGCUUUCGCCUGUGACGAAGCGUGAGUGACGGUAAUGGGUAAAGAAGCACCGGCUAACUACGUG
rnacentral:rRNA from 1 species